UCAAGAAGAAGACAGAGAAAGAGAGCACCGACAAGAAAGACGAGAAGGAGGAGGAUUCAGCAGAGAAGCCGAAGGAGGAGGCAGCAGAGAAGCCCAAGGGGGCCGCCGUCGCCCCCGCCCCCGCCGCCGUCGAUGAGAUCGGUCAGAAAAUGAAGGAGAUGAACACGGAGGCACCCGUGCAGGCGGAAGCGGUGGCAGCCAAGAACUGAUCGGUGGCGGCGACGGCGACGGCGGCACGUCAUGAUCGGUUACCUAGUCAUAAAUUUGUUUCAGAAUAACGCAUUGCAUUAGCAUGUCAUCAACCAUCCACACAUAUGUAUCACCUGAUCGAUCGAUGAGAGUUCAGUUCGACAACGAUGUAAUUUACUCCUACCUUUUUUUUCUGGUUUUAAUGUGAUGAAAUUUAAUGGAUGCCAUUGCCAUGAGCUGGCGCUACCCGAUCGAUCGAUCGUACUACUACUGCUACG
rnacentral:lncRNA from 1 species